AGAUGGACGCAGCACGCGCCGUGUUCAACGGCGCGUCAAUCUCAAGAAAUAUGGCCAAUUUGAUGAUGGAAAUGAGAGAGUUCAUCUUAGAGGAGGAUGGAGAAAUAAAUAUUAGAAACUCCAUAUGCCUGUUACUGGGGACAGCUCUAUAUUGGUGGGGCCAAUAUAUGUUGGUAAGUUUCUUGACAGCUGAUUCUUUACUUAUCAACAGGGCCCGGAUUUUGAUGACCUAAAAAUAUUUUAAAAAUGACCCGAAAUUCCAGAAAAAUUAUCUAAAUUUAAGAAACUACUUAAAAGUGUAUCAUAUCAUGGAAAAUCUACUAAUUGUUCUAAAAUGUAUUUUUAAUCUUGAUUAACACUGUGAACUCAACGUUUCUCUUUUUAAGUUCGUCUUCAUUUUUACGCUGAAAAUUAAGCAAUAUAUGAUUUAAUUUGAAGCUCAAAGUUUUAAUGUGAUUUUUUCUACCG